AUUGAACGCUGGCGGCAUGCCUUACACAUGCAAGUCGAACGGUAACAGGUCUUCAGAUGCUGACGAGUGGCGAACGGGUGAGUAAUACAUCGGAACGUGCCUAGUAGUGGGGGAUAACUACUCGAAAGAGUGGCUAAUACCGCAUGAGAUCUACGGAUGAAAGCAGGGGAUCGCAAGACCUUGUGCUACUAGAGCGGCCGAUGGCAGAUUAGGUAGUUGGUGGGAUAAAAGCUUACCAAGCCGACGAUCUGUAGCUGGUCUGAGAGGACGAUCAGCCACACUGGGACUGGGACACGGCCCAGACUCCUACGGGAGGCAGCAGUGGGGAAUUUUGGACAAUGGGCGAAAGCCUGAUCCAGCAAUGCCGCGUGCAGGAUGAAGGCCUUCGGGUUGUAAACUGCUUUUGUACGGAACGAAAAGCCCCGGGUUAAUACCCUGGGGUCAUGACGGUACCGUAAGAAUAAGCACCGGCUAACUACGUGCCAGCAGCCGCCGCAG
rnacentral:rRNA from 1 species